UCCCUCCUGGCGAUGGGCUAAGAGACACCAUGUUGGUGAUGGUGUUCUAUCAGUCAGAGGCAGAGCAGAGGUGGUCCUUUGUUCUUCCUAGCUUGGUGCCUGGCUUGGUGGCCAGAACUGUCAUAUGCCUAGGACUCAUAA